AAUAUUAGACAAUGGGCGAAAGCCUGAUCCAGCCAUGCCGCGUGUGUGAAGAAGGUCUUCGGAUUGUAAAGCACUUUAAGUUGGGAGGAAGGGCAGUAAGUUAAUACCUUGCUGUUUUGACGUUACCGACAGAAUAAGCACCGGCUAACUUCGUGCCAGCAGCCGCGGUAAUACGAAGGGUGCAAGCGUUAAUCGGAAUUACUGGGCGUAAAGCGUGCGCAGGCGGUUCGGCAAGAAGGAUGUGAAAUCCCGGGGCUUAACCUCGGAACUGCAUUCUUAACUGCCGGGCUAGAGUAUGGUAGAGGGUAGUGGAAUUUCCUGUGUAGCGGUGAAAUGCGUAGAUAUAGGAAGGAACACCAGUGGCGAAGGCGACUACCUGGACUGAUACUGACACUGAGGUGCGAAAGCGUGGGGAGCAAAC
rnacentral:rRNA from 1 species